rnacentral:rRNA from 1 species
CAGUCGCCGCGGGAAUACGUAGGUGGCAAGCGUUAUCCGGAAUUAUUGGGCGUAAAGCGCGCGUAGGCGGUUUUUUAAGUCUGAUGUGAAAGCCCACGGCUCAACCGUGGAGGGUCAUUGGAAACUGGAAAACUUGAGUGCAGAAGAGGAAAGUGGAAUUCCAUGUGUAGCGGUGAAAUGCGCAGAGAUAUGGAGGAACACCAGUGGCGAAGGCGACUUUCUGGUCUGUAACUGACGCUGAUGUGCGAAAGCGUGGGGAUCAAACAGGAUUAGAUACCCGGGUAGUCCCUGUCUCUUAUAC